UUCCUGGGGUGUACUCGAAUCUGAUGUC
rnacentral:sRNA from 1 species